rnacentral:rRNA from 1 species
AGAGUUUGAUCAUGGCUCAGGACGAACGCUGGCGGCGUGCUAAUACAUGCAAGUAGAACGCUGAAGAAAGGAGCUUGCUUCUUUUGGAUGAGUUGCGAACGGGUGAGUAACGCGUAGGUAACCUGCCUUGUAGCGGGGGAUAACUAUUGGAAACGAUAGCUAAUACCGCAUAACAGCUUUUGACACAUGUUAGAAGCUUGAAAGAUGCAAUUGCAUCACUACGAGAUGGACCUGCGUUGUAUUAGCUAGUAGGUAGGGUAACGGCCUACCUAGGCGACGAUACAUAGCCGACCUGAGAGGGUGAUCGGCCACACUGGGACUGAGACACGGCCCAGACUCCUACGGGAGGCAGCAGUAGGGAAUCUUCGGCAAUGGGGGCAACCCUGACCGAGCAACGCCGCGUGAGUGAAGAAGGUUUUCGGAUCGUAAAGCUCUGUUGUAAGAGAAGAACGUGUGUGAGAGUGGAAAGUUCACACAGUGACGGUAACUUACCAGAAAGGGACGGCUAACUACGUGCCAGCAGCCGCGGUAAUACGUAGGUCCCGAGCGUUGUCCGGAUUUAUUGGGCGUAAAGCGAGCGCGGGCGGUUUAAUAAGUCUGAAGUUAAAGGCAGUGGCUUAACCAUUGUUCGCUUUGGAAACUGUUAAACUUGAGUGCAGAAGGGGAGAGUGGAAUUCCAUGUGUAGCGGUGUAAUGCGUAGAUAUAUGGAGGAACACCGGUGGCGAAAGCGGCUCUCUGGUCUGUAACUGACGCUGAGGCUCGAAAGCGUGGGGAGCAAACAGGAUUAGAUACCCUGGUAGUCCACGCCGUAAACGAUGAGUGCUAGGUGUUAGGCCCUUUCCGGGGCUUAGUGCCGCAGCUAACGCAUUAAGCACUCCGCCUGGGGAGUACGACCGCAAGGUUGAAACUCAAAGGAAUUGACGG